GUUCCCGAUAAAGGGGAGUAGCUUUCACAUUAGUGAUAAUCAAUCGUCACUUCGGAUAAUAUCCCGGUUGAUUAGCGAGUAUAUACUUGUUAGCAAGACCUUUAACGUAUAU
rnacentral:sRNA from 1 species